GCAAUAACCUUAGCCUAACCAAAACAAUAAACCCAAAUAAACAAAAUUAUCCUACCAAAACCAACCAAAACAUUUUUCACGAUCCUAGUAUAGGCGAUAGAAAAGACAGUUAGAGCGAUAGAAACAGUACCGCAAGGGAAAAAUGAAAAACAAUGAAACAUCCACCUAAGCUACAAAAAGCAAAGACUAACCCUUAUACCUCUUGCAUCAUGAUUUAGCCAGCAUAUUCAAGCAAAGAGCCCUAAAGUCUGAACCCCCGAAACCAGAUGAGCUACCUAAAGGCAACCAUCGCAUGGCCUUAAACCCGUCUCUGUGGCAAAAGAGUGGGAAGACCUCUAGGUAGAAGUGAAAAGCCUAACGAAUUUGGUGAUAGCUGGUUGCUCGAUAAAAGAAUAUAAGUUCAACCUUAAACCUUCUAAAAACAACCCAAAGUGAAAAGAAAAGUUUAAGAUUUAUUCAAUUGAGGUACAGCUCAAUUGAAAAAGGACACAACCUAUAAUGGAGGACAAAACACUAAAAUGUAACCACCGUAGGCCUUAAAGCAGCCAUCACUAAGGAGAGCGUCAAAGCCCUAACAACUAAAUAACAACAUAAAUUUUCUCCCCAAAAAGUAUUGAGCCAUUCUACCUAAAUAGAAGAACUAAUGCUAAAAUGAGUAACAAGAAGACAAAACUUCUCUAAUGCGCUAGCUUAAAUCAUAACGGACUAACCAUUGAUUAUUAACAGUCAAUACUAUAAAACAAUAACACUUUAAACAUCCUAUAAAACCUAACUGUUAACCCGACACAGGGGCGCACACAAAAGAAAGAUUAAAAUUUGUAAAAGGAACUAGGCAAAUAGACGAGCCCGACUGUUUACCAAAAACAUAGCCCCUAGCAAUAUUACAAGUAUUAGGGGUAAUGCCUGCCCAGUGACACUGUUAAACGGCCGCGGUAUCCUAACCGUGCAAAGGUAGCAUAAUCACUUGUCUUUUAAAUAGAGACUAGAAUGAAUGGCCAAACGAGGUUCCACCUGUCUCUUACAAAUAAUCAGUGAAAUUGAUCUUCCUGUGCAAAAGCAGGAAUAAAAAUAUAAGACGAGAAGACCCUGUGGAACUUCAAAUACAAGUCAACUAUUAUCAAUAUCUACCCACGGACCCACACCUAACUAGUGCUGACUUAUAUUUUUCGGUUGGGGCGACCUCGGAGUAAAACAAAACCUCCGAAAAAUAGAACUACACCUAAACCUAGACCCUACAACUCAAAGUGCCCCCGGCUAAAUGAUCCAACAUACUUGAUCAACGAACCAAGCUACCCCAGGGAUAACAGCGCAAUCCUAUCCUAGAGUUCCUAUCGACGAUAGGGUUUACGACCUCGAUGUUGGAUCAGGACAUCCUGAUGGUGCAGCCGCUAUCAAGGGUUCGUUUGUUCAACGAUUAACAGUCCUACGUGAUCUGAGUUCAGACCGGAGCAAUCCAGGUCGGUUUCUAUCUAUAAACCAAAGCCUUUUCCAGUACGAAAGGAUCGAAAAGACAAGGCCCAUACUAAAUUCAAGCCUUAUCUAACAUUAGUGAAAACAACUUAACUAAUAACAAGACAGAAAGCCACAACCCUAAAAAAGGGUCC
rnacentral:rRNA from 1 species